rnacentral:rRNA from 1 species
CGCACGGGUGAGUAACACGUAUCCAACCUGCCGUCUACUCUUGGACAGCCUUCUGAAAGGAAGAUUAAUACAAGAUAGCAUCAUGAGUCCGCAUGUUCACAUGAUUAAAGGUAUUCCGGUAGACGAUGGGGAUGCGUUCCAUUAGAUAGUAGGCGGGGUAACGGCCCACCUAGUCUUCGAUGGAUAGGGGUUCUGAGAGGAAGGUCCCCCACAUUGGAACUGAGACACGGUCCAA